AACGAACGCUGGCGGCGUGCCUAACACAUGCAAGUCGAACGGAAGCAGGGGGCUUGCUCCUUGCUUUAGUGGCGCACGGGUGAGUAACGCGUGGAUAAUCUGCCUGAUGCUCUGGGAUAACAUUCCGAAAGGGGUGCUAAUACCGGAUAAGCCCACGGGAUCUUCGGAUUUUGCGGGAAAAGGAGGGGACCUUCGGGCCUUCCGACAUCAGAUGAGUCCGCGUACCAUUAGCUAGUUGGUAGUGUAAAGGACUACCAAGGCGACGAUGGUUAGCUGGUCUGAGAGGAUGAUCAGCCACACUGGAACUGAGACACGGUCCAGACUCCUACGGGUGGCAG
rnacentral:rRNA from 1 species